rnacentral:rRNA from 1 species
CCAAUAGCGUAUAUUAAAGUUGUUGCAGUUAAAAAGCUCGUAGUUGAAUUUCGGGGCCAGUAGGUCGGUCGUGCCACUGGUAUGAACUGGUCUCACUGGUCCCUCCCUCUUGAAGAACCGUGAUGCCAUUAAUUUGGUGUUGCGGGGAAACAGGACUGUUACUUUGAAAAAAUUAGAGUGCUUAAAGCAGGCUUACGCUUGAAUACAUUAGCAUGGAAUAACGAAAUAGGACGAUCGAUUCUAUUUUGUUGGUUUCUAGGGUCGACGUAAUGAUUAAUAGGGAUAGUUGGGGGCAUUAGUAUUCAAUUGUCAGAGGUGAAAUUCUUGGAUUUAUUGAAGACUAACUACUGCGAAAGCAUUUGCCAAGGAUGUUUUCAUUAAUCAAGAACGAAAGUUAGGGGAUCGAAGACGAUCAGAUACCGUCGUAGUCUUAACCAUAAACUAUGCCGACUAGGGAUCGGAUGAAGUUAAUUUUUUAAUGACUCAUUCGGCGCCUUACG